AGAGCAAUGCUAUUGCACGCUAUGGUAUAUAUUGUUGCAUCUUUUUAGUCAAGUCUUGCUGAUUCCACACUGCCUAAAUUGACCAUUGUUUUCUUUUCUUCCUUAAGUUGCUCGCUCAAAGGGUGACAACCUGCUUUGGGGUGGUUCUCUUAUUGAAUAUGUGAGUGAUAUAACAAGUACUCCUAAUAGUCACAGCUCAGCAAUCUUUAGUGCUUAUUUGUUGAUAAUUCUUGUAGGCGCGUGUUGAGCAAUGGAUGGACUUUGGUGCCACAGAGGUUGAUCCCAAUAUCGCAAGGUGGCUGUACCCAAGGCUUGGUUAUAUGCCUUACAAUGCCCAGGUAAGUGUACACAUCAGAUAUCAGAAUUAUCUAUGUUCAAGCAUUAGAAAGAUGCAAGAUUCUAACAUUCACCAUUACAGUCUGAGGAAUUCGGCAUUGCUGGAUUGAAGAGGGCCCUUGAAGCAUUGAACACACACCUGGCAUCAAACACAUUCCUUGUUGGGCAUUCUGUCACUCUGGCUGAUAUUGUCAUGACAUGCAACCUCUACCAUGGUUUUGCUCGGAUCUUGACCAAGACUUUCACAUCUGAGUUCCCUCAUGUUGAGAGGUACUUCUGGACCAUGGUUAACCAGCCUAACUUCAAGAAGGUCAUUGGCGAUUUCAAGCAGGCAGAGGUUGUACCUCCUGUUCAGAAGAAGGCUGCUCCUGCUAAACCAAAGGAGGCCAAGAAAGAGGCUCCCAAGGCGGCCCCAAAGCCAGCAGAGGUUGAGGCACCAGAGGAAGAGGCACCAAAGCCAAAGCCCAAAAAUCCCCUUGAUCUACUGCCACCAAGCAAGAUGGUACUUGAUGACUGGAAGAGGCUAUACUCAAACACUAAGAGCAACUUCCAUGAUGUUGCUGUUAAAGGUAUUAUUCUGUCUAAUGAAUUCUUGUAUUCUAAUAUAUAUGUUAGUGAUCCCUAUCCCCUUCAAGUUCUAUAUGUGUUCAUUAAUUGUUUAGAAGUCCGCUCACUGUGUGUUAAUUGUGACUGUACAACCUAGUUGUGUGAGCAUCCACUGAUACCCUAGUCUCUAAAAAUUCUGCCUGUCAACACUAACUGGUCUAAAUGUUAAAGAGAAUCUUAUUGUCCAUUCUUUUGUGUGUCUACUUGACAUUGAACUACUUCUGAGUCAUGCAUUCAGCCUUGCCUUGAUCAAUGCUCUGCUUUGUGUAUUAGGACAUCAUUUUUUGUUUCAAUUAUGUGUUUAUAGUUGUGGCAUUCUGUUCUUGUUAUCAAUUGAUAAUAGAAUGACUCUUCAGAUCUUUGUAGGGGUUAUGCAUGAUUCUCAUUCUUGUUCAUUUGCGAUGCUACUUUGUGUAUCAGGGCAGCAGUUUAUCAAAAUUAUGUGUUUGGUAGUUGUGGCAUUCUGUCCUUGUUCAUUUGUAACUCUGAUCUUAACAUGAACCAAAACUCAUGUAUGAUGUCUAUGCUUCAGGUUUCUGGGAGAUGUAUGACCCAGAGGGCUACUCUCUCUGGUUCUGUGACUACAAGUACCAGGAAGAGAACACCGUGUCCUACGUGACCCUGAACAAGGUCGGCGGGUUCCUGCAGCGGAUGGAUCUGUGCCGCAAGUACGCUUUUGGCAAGAUGCUCGUGAUUGGUUCUGAGGCGCCCUUCAAAGUCAAGGGGCUGUGGCUCUUCCGUGGGCAGGACAUCCCUGAGUUCGUCAUGAAUGAGGUCUAUGACAUGGAGCUCUACGAGUGGACUAAGGUUGACCUCUCCGACGAGGCCCAGAAGAAGCGUGUCGAGGCCAUGAUCGAGGACCUUGAGCCGUUUGAGGGGCAGGCCUUGCUGGACGCCAAGUGCUUCAAGUAAGCGAACAGUGCCUGGGAUCGUGAUGGCGGUGGCAAAGAAACUAUCUAGGACUUGAAAUUCAGUGUCGAAACAGUUGGUCUUUUUUUGGAAGAGUUUGCUUGUUACUUAAUGGCUAUUUGACCUGGUGAACUAGUUAAUUUUGUGCUAUGCUAAGAGUUUUUGGGUAUCUGGUCCUGCUGUCUCGUUAUUCUGUGAGGUUUUUACAUUUGUGUCCGCAGAUAGAGCCAUCUACUCCUACUUCCGUGAAUCGUUAUAUUGCUGCUAUUGCUAGCCGCUAACUGUUUCUGAGCAAAGCAUGUAUGGCCUUCAUAGCGUGAUACACGAUUUAUCAGUGUAUCAUGAGUCAGCGGUCAUGGUCGCCAUCGUGGUCUGGCUAACAGCUGUAUAUCA
rnacentral:lncRNA from 1 species